rnacentral:rRNA from 1 species
GUGGGGAAUAUUGGGCAAUGGGGGCAACCCUGACCCAGCAACGCCGCGUGAGGGAAGAAGGUUUUCGGAUUGUAAACCUCUGUCCUAUGGGAAGAAGGAAGUGACGGUACCAUAGGAGGAAGCCCCGGCUAACUACGUGCCAGCAGCCGCGGUAAUACGUAGGGGGCGAGCGUUGUCCGGAAUUACUGGGCGUAAAGGGUGCGCAGGUGGCCUGACAAGUCAGAUGUGAAAUACCGAUGCUUAACGUCGGGGCUGCAUUUGAAACUAUGAGGCUGGAGUGCAGGAGAGGGAAGCGGAAUUCCUAGUGUAGCGGUGAAAUGCAUAGAUAUUAGGAGGAACACCAGUGGCGAAGGCGGCUUUCUGGACUGUAACUGACACUGAGGCACGAAAGCGUGGGGAGCAAACAGGAUUAGAUACCCUAGUAGUCC